UCAGAACGUCGUGAGACAGUUCGGUCUCUAUCUAUCGUGGGCGCAGGAGUCUUGAGCGGAUCUGACACUAGUACGAGAGGACCGUGUUGGACAGACCUCCGGUCUACUGGUUGUGCCGCCAGGUGCACCGCCGGGUAGCUGAGUCUGGUAUGGAUAAGCGCUGAAAGCAUCUAAGUGCGAAGCCAACCGCGAGAUGAGGGCUCCCUGAGGGUCGUCGCAGACUACGACGUUGAUAGGACGCAGGUGUAAAGACGGCGACGUCAAAGCCGAGCGUUACUAAUUGCCCGAGACUUUAGGCCUC
rnacentral:rRNA from 1 species